AUCCAGCUAACGAGUCCCAAAUAGGACGAAAGGUGCGUCCUCGAU
rnacentral:hammerhead_ribozyme from 1 species